AGCUUUGUGCAGUGGCAGUAUCAUAGCCAAUGAGGUUUAUCCAAGGCAUGAUUAUUGCUAAUUAAAUUAUAAUAUUCAUACAUAUUUUUCAUUUCUAGAGGUUCUAUUUGGUU
rnacentral:snRNA from 1 species